UACGUAGGGUGCAAGCGUUGUCCGGAAUUAUUGGGCCUAAAGCGUCCGUAGCUGGCUUGUUAGAUGCCUGGUUAAAUCGAUGCGCUCAACGCAUCGAACUCCGGGUAGACCGGCAAGCUUGGGACCGGGAGAGGCGUGAGCUACUCGAGGGGUAGGGGUAAAAUCCUGUAAUCCUUCGGGGAGGACCAGUGGCGAAGGCGUCACGCUAGAACGGCUCCGACAGUGAGGGACGAAGCCCUGGGGCGCAAACCGG
rnacentral:rRNA from 1 species